UACGUAGGGAGCAAGCGUUGUCCGGAAUCAUUGGGCGUAAAGCGCGCGUAGGCGGCCCGAUAAGUCCGCUGUGAAAGUCAACGGCUCAACUGUUGGAUGCCGGUGGAUACUGUCGGGCUAGAGUACGGAAGAGGCAAGUGGAAUUCCUGGUGUAGCGGUGGAAUGCGCAGAUAUCAGGAGGAACACCUAUAGCGAAGGCAGCUUGCUGGGACGUUACUGACGCUAAGGCGCGAAAAGCGUGGGGAGCGAACAGG
rnacentral:rRNA from 1 species